ACAAGUUAGAAACAUGGAAGGAUGAGAAAAGUAUUUUCCAAUCAAAAUUCGAUUGGAUUUAUAAACUUCAUAAUCGUACUUAUUCAUGGAAGUAAUCAUGGUGUGCUUUAGGCAAUGUUUUCAUAAUUAGACGAUCCAUAUGAGCGAACCAAAAAGCUAAGGAAUCCUUAUUGGGGAGGUACUUUUCGUGAGUAAUGCUUUAGGCAUAAGUAUUCGAAUGAAGAUCAUGGCGGAGGCUUAUUCAGCUCUUCCUUGCCAUUGUUGGCUUCAAUGGUUUUUCAGCUACUUGGUAGUCAAGUGGAGAUUCAUGUCUCGUACCCUGCAUGAAGUGGUUUUUAUUAGAAACAUUCAAAUCAAGAAACAUCAAACUUGUGACGGCUCGACAAUCCACUGAAUUGGAGGGAACAAGAUUGUUAUUGGUGCUAUGGGAUUGAAUCAUCCAUAAGCAUCAAAGUUAGAACAUUCGAGUUCUAAGACAUGGUUUUCAUGAAAAACGUUAGGUUUUCAUAGGUGUAUUGUUUUAUAAAAACUCUGGGUUUCAAAGGCACUAAAUUUGAAACUACAAGUUCAAUUUAGUUUAUGAACGUUUAGUUCAUAAAAGAGAGGUUCUUGGAAGAACACAGAAUGCAAUAUGUUGAUUUAAGUGUAGUGGAUUUGAGUUGCUUCGGGAACU
rnacentral:lncRNA from 1 species